ACAGGUGCUUGCCAAAUAAGCAAAAAAUGAGCCAGGGACCUCUGGCCUAACUUACUCCUUUCUCCACCUAAUUUCAGACAUAGAAAGGCUGAAAAUGUCUGAAAAGAAAAACAGAGCAAGAGAGGACUGUGUGCUUUACUAAGGGUCAGUUCUAGGAUACCCCUGGGAGUGAAUCAAUGUAACACAGGAGAAAAAAUACCUGGAAGUAGUGCACUAACCUUCCUGUGUGUUGGCUGAAGCAGUCAGCCCACGGUGGUUCUGGGCUACAGUGAGAUAAAUCAGUGCUGAUGUUCAUGCCAAACCACAGAUACCACACUCAAUUUGUUAGGGAAUAACCCCAGAUCUUUCCAGCAAAAUAUUCACUCCUUCCAUAUCCUGUCAGUGAGCAAUAUGGAAAAAUUUCCCUCUAAUGGGUAAGUGCUGUGCCCUAAAACAAGCCUGGGAAACCAUAGCUUGUACUUCGUGCAUGAAAGUACUGGACAAUUAGAAACUCAGCUGAAGCAUGCAGAUUGUCUGCUGAUGAGGGUAGACACUUAUUUAAAAAGCGUGGAGGAAUUUAUUCUUUGAAUUUUACAGCUGUUGCCAUUUCAACCACAAGGCCAAGUUUACAUCCAUGACAGACGAAAAACACAGCACAGAAAAAAAGAAAUACAGCUUGAUAGUUGCAUGAUGAUUUUACACCUUUCUGAGGCAGGCUUCUUUACCUUCUAUUUCAGUGGCUUUAUCCACACAAAAACUUAUUUUAUUUGUAUCCUAGCAAGAUGAAGUCUCUUGUUCCCCAAGAUGGGGUAGCUGGAACAGAAGGAGUGUCUUGGAGCAGCCCUUGUCCCCUCUGGGACAGAGACUAUAUUGUUUUCAGCCUGAGUGGAAUUGUUACUCUCUCCAUAAUGCCUUCCUGUUUCCACAUUCCUCAUAAAACUACCUCCACAAAAAAUGGACCAUCCUCCCAGAAGGGAGCAGGGAUGGGACUCAACUAGAGAUGGAAGAGCACAUUAGUCUCUUCUCUCCAUGUGCAUUUUCUUUUUCAGUUACCUGUUAAGAUCCAGCAAAGAGUCUGGAGAUGUGUUUUUCUCCUUACCUAGAUAAAACAGUUUUGCUCUUUAGAUACUGCAAUGACACUCUGAUGCCAUCUGUCUAACACAGUCCAUUGGACAAAUGAAGAUAAUCUUCCACUACCUUUGUGUUACAUCCUUGAGUAAACUGGGCUGAUGCCUGUUUGUACUUGACCUCACAGCUGGGUGAUCUCCUCACCGUUAUUCCAAAAUCAGUGAAACAAGAUAAAACCAGCCAAGACCAAACCUUAGCAUUGCCACAUGGCCUCAGUUCAAAUCUUCAUAAUGAAACCUUUUAGGAGACAUCCCUGAAGCUGUAGCUUGCUUAGUCUGACCAGAAGAGCACAGGUGUCAGGGCAGGUGUCAUUCUACGUUCAUCGUGCUGCCUCACAUGUUGGUGUCCCGGGGUCAUGUGCACAUGUGAUGGACAAGGAGCAGCCUGUUGCAUAUUUAGAUGGGUAGUGCAUGGUGUGACAGACACAGAGCUAUCCCACAAUGAUUUUAACAGGGUGCACUGGCCUCAUAACUGUUUGUUGCACAAAUAUUUGGCUUAUGCUUAAUAGCAGACUGUAAGGAAAACAAUCACAAAGGAAGCAAAAUGGCUUGAACUCAGCCAGCCCUGCAGUUAACACAGGACAAUGGGAAAGUCAUGGGCUCCCAGGAGUCUGGUUCAGCUUCCUGCAGGGCCUACUGAACUGGUUGGGAAAGACAGAGCCAAAAGUCUGACAAGCGAGAAGCACAAAUGAACUCUGGCUGCAUCAGCAGGACUCUCUUUUCAGAGCCAAGGAGAUCUUGGGGAGCUGUUCAGGGCCACCAGACCGAGACUCAGGCACUCGCUGUAGUGUCUGCAGAAGCAGAGACCUGCCUCCGUUGCCAAAGGGGCAGAGCUGUGGAUAAUUUGGAGGAUGGAGAAGAACUGCUCAUUUUGUAAAUGCCUUUUGGAAAAGGAAACAAUACUAUAGUUUUGAGAAAGUGGUUUUGACAUUUUGUGGGCAUCAUUUGUCACUCUAUCCUUGAGGGAAAGUCCACAGGCAUCCAAACAUGGCUUUUGGUGAAACCUUUCCUUUCUGUAUUACAGUCCCUGGCAACUCAAGGGAAGUUGAGACCCAGACUCUUGAAAUGUGCCCCAGCUGGCCAAGGCUCAGUGUCCAAGGUGAGGCCAAGACCCAGUUUCUAGCAACAAACUCUGCUGAAACUAUGGGUGUUAGCCCCACAGUUCAGACACUGGUGGUUGUCUCCAGCCUAUGUCUCAUGCCAAUGAGAGCAUCAGACAGUACCUGCUGUCUGGGCCAACCUGUCUUUUUCUCUUGUGGGCUUUGUGACCCAUCAGACACCAGAGAGGCAGAAGUGCUGCUAGUCCUGCUGUCUGAGGGCUUGAACAGAGACAACAGGGCAAGCUCUUCCCACCUAGAGAAAGCACUGACUCUUGGUGCUGGAAAUGGUAAUGCUCUUUUCCAGGGCCCAGUAUCCUCUGCUCUACUGCAAACACAUAAACAAGGCUUGUUUAAGUCACCUGAAUUCAUAUUUAACCUAUCAGCACAUUAGUGACUUUGCACUACAGUGCAAUACAGUAUGGGACAGGCCUGCUCAGCUCCCGUCUUCCAAUUCCAGGGCAGUAACAAGAAGUACUAACGCAUGCUCAUGAUCAUCUGAGCCAUAUCUGCACAUCAUUGCCUUGUCCAUGUUGCCUUUCCAGACUAGCCGUUCUUCUCUUCCAAAACCAAACUGCUAAUUUAGAUAAAAUUUCAUUGAGGCUCCUGUGGGCAUUGUAGCUGUGCACCAGUAAGAAAGGAUAGAGCCCUUGUUGGACAACAGCAAAGACUCACUGGCUUAUGUAUAUGAGGACAAGUGACUUCUAGGUCAUAUUUAAUUUACCCUUACCACACAGACCAUAAUUGCAUCUAACCAGAGGAAAACAUUGCACGAUAGGGAAAACAGGCAGACCAUGAAAGAAGCAUACACCCCGUGUUAAGUAAGCAGAUGUCACAGGAAGGAAAAUGCAAUAUACUGUAGGUGCUGAAAGCCUUAAACUGACAUCUGCUUUUCUUUAUUUCUGUCUAAAAUUCUCCUUUAACAUCUGACAUCAUGAUCUCAUUUUGAUCCUUUCUGAUAUAAAGUGGUGAUAGCUUAUAUCUGCAACUCUCUACAAGACAUUCUUUUCCUGUUUCAUCUUCUUGUUACAUCUGAAUUAAUCUUUAUCUGAGAGAUGAUUUCUCACCAAUCCACCAGCAACACUGGUAAGUUACUUUAGAGAAGGUCAUAUAUGAUCAUAAAAUGACAUUUAACUGAAGAAAGAAUCAGCAGCAGAAACAAAAGUUUAGUAAACAUUAGCUAGUCUUCUUGUCCCUUAGCAGGAACCUAUUCUCAAAACCCACUACUAACAAAGGAAAAACUGGCCCAUAAGAGCACCAAUCUUUCUUCUUCUGUCCACAAUCCCUCACAGAAACUACAGCUUAAAAUCUCAGCAGGGAGUUCCAUGUUGAGUACCUCAUGCUUUGGAAGCACAACUUGAGAAAUAUUAUAUUACAGGGGCCCAAUUUAAAGGAGUCCUCUCAAAAAUCAGUCUUUGUUUUGGACAUCAUAAGCUGUUCAGCACCACCAGUCAAAUGCUAAGAUCUUGGGUAGAAAGUACAUCUUUCCAUAAGCAGCGUGCAUCUCUUCACAACAAGAACCCAGUCUGCCGUUUGUACUGCUUGGUGUUCUAACCUCAAGUAAAUACACCAUGUGAUCUGCAGGAUAUGUCUCUGAGCAUGCUUACAUGGUAAUAAUGAUGUUAAAUAGAAUGGCCAUAUGAUUUAUUAUGUCUUGUGAAAUAAAGCAAAGCCAAUCUCUUCCCACCAAGGGAAGUACCAGCACAGUAGAAAAUGGAAACAAGAAAAAAAUUAAAUACCACCCAGGCCUGGUUUAAACAUGCAAACUUUCUAAUAAAAUAUCAGAACCAGAUGCUGCUAAAGAUGAGUGAUAAUUAAAGAAGAUAAAUUAAAGAAAUGUUUUUCCAGGGAAUGACUCUACUGCACACAAAUUGUUUCAGCAUGGCAAAAAAAAUAUAAUAAAAUUACUGCUGCUGCCUGUUUUCAAAAGUUUCCAUUAAUAAGUCAAGGCAGGUUCCCUGCUAAAUUCCCUUAUAUCCAGGCUCCCUCUUUGCCUCUGUUGGUUUAAUCUCAGUGUGGUUUAGCAGAGUGAGCAGAGGACUGAGCGCCAGGAAUUCAGCUCCAGCACUGACUCACUGUGUGGGCUCCCUUAUGUCAUGCUCAGGGCAGGUCAGGCCUGGAAAGCACAUCUCUGAAAAUGGUCCUGAGGGGUCCAGAGCCUGACGGUCUCCCCACUCGUGUGUCAGAUGUGCACAGUUCACCAGAGUUUUCCCCUGACUGUCAGCUCAGCAAACUGAUCUCAGGCUAAGCUGGUGUAAUGUGUUUUUUUCAGUCUGGUGUCUCAUCGCAAGAAAUAAGUACGCUGGGAGCCAAGUUAUGCAGACACCUGUGCAAACUCACGGCAGGAAACGCGGCUGGAGCAUUGCAGAUGAAGGGUGCAUUCAGCAGACCCACUAAGACCACCCUGGAGCUUUAUGUGCCUGUGUAUAAACUCAUCUUAGUCCGGGUUGCUGUUAAGCUCCAUUUUAGCUAAACACAAGAUGGUGUUUAAGCCCCUCAAAGGCUUUUAAUUUCUUGAGAUUUCUCACACGCAGAAAAGUGUCCAUCUAAUUGCCAAAGGCAAUUUUGCAGCAAGUAAAAUAACGCGCUGCACCGGGAGAGGAAAAGAAUGAAACAAACCCAUGUAAAUACAGAGCCUAGUUCCCUUUUAACCACAUGUUCCCCAGGCUCACCACCUCUGCAGAAGCCUAUGAGGAAAAAUGUGGUUUGCAGCGUGCCUGUAAAGCCAAAAAUCUGGCGUGUUUGGGGCCGAGUGAGGGCUCAGCAUGGGUAAGCGCCAGGUGAGGCAGCGCAUCCCCGGAGCCCCGGGCCACAGGGCCCUGAGGACCGGCACUGCUGCUCCCUGGUCACAUCCCCGGAGCCCCGGGCCACAGGGCCCUGAGGACCGGCACUGCUGCUCCCUAGCCACAUCCCCGGGCCACAGGGCCCUGAGGACCAGCACUGCUGCUCCCUGGUCACAUCCCCGGAGCCCCGAGCCACAGGGCCCUGAGGACCGGCACUGCUGCUCCCUGGCCACAUCCCCGGGCCACAGGGCCCUGAGGACCGGCACUGCUGCUCCCUGGCCACAUCCCCGGGCCACAGGGCCCUGAGGACCGGCACUGCUGCUCCCUGGCCGCAUCCCCGCUCGCAAAACCAGCGUAAGGCAGAGCCUGGUGUGGCAAGUCCUCAUGCAACCAGUGCUGCAGGGCAUCUGUCCCCAAAACACACUUCUCACCUGCUCGACAGACAGACUCCCCUGGAGAUAUCAGACAGAAAAUUCAUUGGAGUGGGGAGGAGAAGGAGAGGAGAGGUGAGGAAAGUCUUGUCCAGCUUGAAAGAAGCACCAUCAUCUGUUGGGUGAUCCUGAGCUGCUGAGAUAGAGGGAUUGGCUCCUUCUCCCUCUCAGAGAGAGCUUCAGAUGAGUGGAUGGCUCUCAGGUGUCAAGCAUGAAGUCUGUGACUUAUUCACAUCUUGUUGAUUUCAUAAAGAAAAGGUUUCCUGCUGUUAUG